GACGAACGCUGGCGGCGUGCCUAAUACAUGCAAGUCGAGCGAAGCGGUGGAUGGGUGAGGAACGCGUGGGGAACCUGACCUAAAAUCUGGGAUACCAUUUGGAAACAGAUGCUAAUACCGGAUACUAAAGGAUGGACCUGGGAGGCAUUAGCUAGUUGGUAAGGUAACGGCUUAACAAGGCGAUGAUGCAUAGCUGAUUUGAGAGACGGAUCGGCCACACUGGUACUGAGACACGGCCCAGACUCCUACGGGAGGCAGCAGUGGGGAAUCUUCCACAAUGGACGAAAGUCUGAUGGAGCAACGCCGCGUGUGUGAAGAAGGUUUUCGGAUCGUAAAGCUCUGUUGUUGGUGAAGCGGUAAUCAACCAGAAAGUCACGGCUAACUACGUGCCAGCAGCCGCGGUAAUUC
rnacentral:rRNA from 1 species